rnacentral:lncRNA from 1 species
AGACAAGCGCUUAGACUUCACAAGCACCCUGGCACUUCAGCUGCAUGGUGGGGACCCUCUGCCGGCAGGGCUGAGGCCAAGGCCCACUGGCUUCCCAAAGCCUCUGCUCCUGCUCGCCGUGAAGACAGCAACAGAGUGAGACCCUGUCUCAAAACAAAAAUUAUGUAUUUUCAGAUAGCUUGAAGGAGAAUAUUGAGUGUUCCUAAUGCAAAGAAAUAAUAAAUGUUUGAGAUGAUAGAAAGAUUCCAGACACAAAUGGCCACAAGUUGUAUGGUUCGUUUUAUAUGAAGAGUUCAGAAUAGACAAACCGAUAGAGACAGAAGUCACACGAAGACAAGCCCAUAGUGUAGCCUG